rnacentral:misc_RNA from 1 species
CAAGUAGGCUUGGUUCCAACUAACCUAAAAUGUUUUUCUCACCAAUUAACUUUAUAUCGAACUAAGAUCUCGUAAGCACUAGAGCUCCAAUGUCAUUGUAUCUGAAUAAUAGCUCAGUCUCUUUAAAUGACAAGAACCUGUAACUUUUUCUCAUUUCAUUACAUCUAAUUUCCGAAUAAUUUAAAUUAUCUACAUACAAGUAUACUUAUAUAUAGCUUAACAAAUAUCAGGAAUAUCUUAUUCUAGAACUGUUCGGAUAUUUUCAUUUUGAAUAUUGUUGAAAAGUGAGUCUUAUUAUAAUGAAGAAUACGAUAUAAAACUUUUAUCUGUAUCUAUUGCUUUUACUUCCUAGAUUGAUAGCUCUUAUGAGCCACCGUACCUUAUCUGAAUUUUAUUUUUAGAACUGGGCCACAAGUUGAAAUUAUAUUUGUCAUUUUUCAGCUCUUUUUUUUUUUUUCAGUAGAAAAGUCUAAUCAAGAGGUAAUUGUCAAGUUUCAACAUCCAUAACUUUUCUCAACAAUACAUUAAGAUUGGAAAAAGCUGCUUCAUGUGUUAUGAACAAUUAAACUUUCAGAUAACACAUUAUUAGGACUUGACGUUUCUUUCACUUUGUCGUCUGUUAAUGAUAUUAGAUGGAAAAUGGGUAUUCAAAGAGAGCUAGUACAAGUAAUGUUCACAUUAACGGUGUUCUUGUCACGUCCUUCUUGGUUUGGAUGCUAAACCAACUUCAAAUUCAACAGUUACUUUGCCACUGUCUACAGAAAAAUAUUGUUCUACAUAUGAUGGUUCUUGUGAUAACUGCAUCGAAGCUGGUUCAAAGUGCUACUAUUGUUACAAGAACAAAAAAUGUUCUUUCUAUCCCUUUGAACAUAUCGUGUAUAGAUAUGAUGAGUGUGGAUCACUUGGAGAUAUGGCCUGGGGUACCUGCUAUGGUAAGCUGAUUAAAGUGACAUUUACUUCUCAGAGUAUAAAUCAUGUAAACCUUUGAAUUUUGUUAUCUAUGUGUUUUAAUAAUAAUAAUAAUAUUUCUUUAAACAAGUCAAUUUUGAAGCCCUGCUCAUCACCAUUAGUAUAAUAGGAGUAAUGAUUCUUAUGGCUCUGACCAUCUUUUGCUGUUGGUGUUGCCGCUCUUAUCAUAAACGAAAAAUAGAAAAGUACCAAAGGGAAGUCACGAAGUUUGACAGGGAACAGGAAAAUCUGAAAUUAAGAGCAGCAGAAAGGAAACAACAUAGACAGGCAAAAGUAGAUGGAAUACGUGAUAAGUAUGGGCUUCGAGUGGAAAACCCAUUCUACAAAAGGCUUGACUGAGUAUUUGCUGCAAAUAAACAUCAGACCUUAAAAAAAAAGAUGUUAGUGAACUGAAAACCAUUAUUUAUGAAAUCAGACAUUAAUUAUUUAAAUCACUUGUUCAAAGUUUGUAUUAUUCACAAAAUUAUUGUUUUAUUUCUUAUAAGCCUAAAAAUUUAUUUUUGUUCUACACCAUGUAUAUCCACUAGUUAAUUAAAUCUAGCAGAGACAUUGUAAUAUACAAAAUUUAAAAGAUUUGCACCAUUAUAGCAUAGUUGAUAUUUAAUUUGUAGAUUAAAAAAAUCUUCCUCGUUAAUAUGUAACAUGUUGUCAGGUGUAUGUUUUAUUUAUUGCACUUUUUCUUAACAUAAA